UGUGGAAACAAAGACACCUACAUCUUGGAUGCCCUUGAGAGACAAGAUCAUUGCAUUUCAGAGACAAGUACCUGAGGCUCAGGCAAACCAUGUGUGCUGAGAAGGACACCUUGCUUUUGUUUCAACCUUCCGUUCCAUGAAUUCUAUUGCCACAUCCUUCUAACACAACCAUACAAGCUUUCUUAAUGCAUGUUAUUGGUCUUAUUGUGAACGAUUCGUACAUUUUUCUGCCUAUACAUUUUUAAUUAAAAUUGCACUUGAUCAGCUGGUGAAA